GCCCAGACUCCUACGGGAGGCAGCAGUGGGGAAUAUUGCACAAUGGGGGAAACCCUGAUGCAGCGACGCCGCGUGAGCGAUGAAGUAUUUCGGUAUGUAAAGCUCUAUCAGCGGGGAAGAAGGAAGACGGUACCCGACUAAGAAGCCCCGGCUAACUACGUGCCGGCAGCCGCGGUAAUACGUAGGGGGCGAGCGUUAUCCGGAUUUACUGGGUGUAAAGGGAGCGUAGACGGCGUCGCAAGUCUGAAGUGAAAGCCCGUGGCUCAACCGCGGAACCGCUUUGGAAACUGCGAGGCUGGAGUGCUGGAGAGGUAAGCGGAAUUCCUGGUGUAGCGGUGAAAUGCGUAGAUAUCAGGAGGAACACCGGUGGCGAAGGCGGCUUACUGGACAGUGACUGACGUUGAGGCUCGAAAGCGUGGGUAUCGAACAGGAUUAGAUACCCUUGUAU
rnacentral:rRNA from 1 species